UAAGGAGGUUCAGUUGCUUAGACAGCCAGGAUGUUGGCUUGGAAGCAGCCAUUCAUUUAAAGAGUGCGUAACAGCUCACUGGUCGAGCGGUUCCGCAUGGAUAAUAAUCGGGCAUAAGUACACCACCGAAGCUAUGGCUUUACACCAUCGGGUGUAAGGGGUAGGGGAGCAUUGUAGUGCCAUUGAAGGUGUUCUGUAAGGGAUGCUGGAGGAGCUACAAACGAAAAUGUAGGCAUAAGUAACGAUAAUGCGGGCGAGAAACCCGCACGCCGAAAGACCAAGGUUUCCCCGGCCAUGCUAAUCAGCCGGGGGUCAGUCGGGACCUAACACGAACCCGAAGGGGGUAGUGGAUGGACAACGGGUUAAUAAUCCCGUACCCGCAAUACGACAAAAGUGACGGGGGAGUGGCGUUGGUGCGUACAGACGGAAUUGUACGUUGAAUCAUCUGUAAGGAUGAGAUAGUACGGCAAGGCUACGGCUGCGCCGAUAAUCCAGCAUAGCUUCCUCCAAGAAAAGCGAGUAUUGCGGCCCGUACCGUAAACCGACACAGGUGGUCGGGAUGAGUAUUCUAAGGCGCUCGAGAGAUUCAUGGCUAAGGAACUAGGCAAAAUAGACCUGUAACUUCGGGAGAAAGGUCGCCCUGUAGUAUAACGCUACAGGGCCGCAGUGAAGAGGUCCAGGCGACUGUUUAUCAAAAACACAGGGCUCUGCAAAAUCGAGAGAUGACGUAUAGGGCCUGACACCUGCC
rnacentral:rRNA from 1 species